UCCCUUCCCGGCACGCCGCGAUCUUCCCCGGCACCGCGGAGGUUGCGCGGCCCCUGCUGCAAACGCUGGAGUCUCUGCUCCCCGGGGCAGGUCCCUGCGUAGCCAGCCCGGCUCUCUCCCCCCCAGCCCAGCUCUGGCGGAGAGUUCAUGCUCCCGGCCCCCGCCCGCGCUAGCCCCCUUGCCCCGCGCCCUGGGCCGCCUUGCACCAUGUCAAAUGGGGCACUUCCCCGGCCAGGAGCCCGAGGAAAAGCCAGCUGAAAUUCGAUACAUUGGCAGGAGGGAUCACGUGGCCGGCUCUUGGCCAAUGGCCAAGGUUCACUGGGAGAGGGACUGUUUGAUGAGUUAAUGGCAGCAAUUUGUAACUUUCAGUCUCUCUCUGGGCAAACACACAAGAGGGAUGAUAGGAAACAGUUUCUCCAGCAGAUCUCUCUCUGGGCUGCGAGAAAUGGACAUGACUUCAUCCCAACCCCCAACCCCAGCCCACCCCACCAGACCCUCCUGGAAUAUCUGCUGGGAUGCUCAAGCCAAACCUGCCAUUUUCGUCUCAAUCGAAACAUUUUGAAAUGUGUGUCAAUGUUGAUGAAAAUUCCCACAGGAAAAAAAAAAUUGGAAGCUGUUUAAUUUCCAACAGAGAAAGGAGAGACUUUGAUCUAGAAAAGCAGACACCUGAUUCCCCAUUGUCUCUGCAUUGGAUGUUUCUCUAAAAGAUCUGCUCUAGGAAUGAUUUUGGGGACGUUCUAUGGCCUGUGUUAUACAGGAGGUCAGAUCAGAUGAUCACAAUGUUCCCUGCUGGCCUUGGAAUCCAUGAAUCUCUUUCUUUGUGCAUUGAGAUUGGUUUGAUCCUCUGUACAAUUUCCCCCUUUGUUCAGCGAGGAGAACAGAUCCUUGUGGAUGCUGCACGGCAGGAGAAGCCACUGAAGCAUCUCGAAAUAUAAUUAGAAUCUAAAUAUGACACUGCUGAUACAGUUGGAGACCUCGCGCCAUAAAACACCAGGCCUGUGAUUUGUAAAAUUGUACCAGGCAGCCCUAUGUCAUACAGAGUAGGAGAUGCUCCCAGACAUACAGACGUAUGCAAGUGCAUGAUUGCUUAAAGAUUGCCCAUGAGUUUUCAAUUACCUCCUAUUAAUGUAUUUACUCUGUGUAUCUUUCAUCAAGCUACGAGUCGUUUUAUUUUUUGUACAGGGAUGGGUUGAGUUUAGUAAAUGGCACAUAUUUCAAUAUUAAAGCCGUUUACUAUCAUCACAAGCAUGAAAGAUGCCUCAAAUAAGAUGCAGCUGCACGUGAAGUUGUUAGUGUCUGCGUCCCAGGCAGUAUAUCUCCUGUAUUUUAAUUAAGUGGGUGUUCUCUCUCGCUGUGCAUCGUACAUUACCGGCGGUCAUCCCAGAUGUCAGCGAGGAGUUGCCAGAGAAACUAAAAUCCAAAUCAAACCAACAAAAGAGUCUCUGCCAACCAGGACCAACCUGCCCCUUUUGAAGGUUUCUAUCACUACAUGAAUGCCUCUUGGCCCAGGAUUCUGCUAGCCCAGUGGCUGUAUUACCCUAGGAGAAGGCUGGGAACCAGUCUGGGACUCGGGUAUACCUACAUUGGAGGUGUGAUUUCCAGCUGGAGGAGACAUAUCCGCACAAGCUCUGAGCAACCUAGUGCUAAAAGAAGAGAGCGUAGCUAGGCGGCAUGAAUGGGGGGAGAAGCUAACUGCUCCAAGAAUAAUCCUGUCCAAGGCCUUAAGCGUGUAUUCAGACAGCCAGCCUCUCUUGCACGCCCACUCCCAGGGUUAUGAUGACCCUGAUCAGUGCUAAUCUGGGCAUGUCUCCCCCAGCUGGAAAUUACACCGUUCAGCUCCAGGGGAGACAUACGCUCAGAAUCACGGUCUAGUUCCCAGUUAACUCCUGAUCUAAGGGCUUGUCAACAAGGGGAUAUCUAGGAAAGUUAAUCCGCUUUACCUAAAGGUGGGCAUUUGAAGUCAAUUAGUUAACCUGCCCUAUGGGAACACCUUCAUUCAGAAUUAAAGUGGGCUUAAUUCAGUUUAAUAUGAUUCACUUUGGAAGCGCAUUAAAUUAAAGGAAAUUCCGGCCACUUUAAUUCUGAAUGAAACUGUUCACAAUUUCCUGCUAAUGGAUGCCAGCCCUGAGGUCUGGUGGCAAGUUGCUUGGCCUUAAUGCGGGUUAACGAAUCCACUUCAAAUUCACACCUUUAAUUAAUUCAGAUUAAUUUCCCUGCUGGAUGUCCCCAUGUAGACAAGCCUUUUAAAUGGGUGUAGGGAGGAAGUACACUUCACUAGCCCUAUACCCAGUGCAGUAUGCUUAGUUUUCACUGGCUACUGCAUGGGUGAACCAAGUGUGAUGCUGGUAGACCAGGUGCCAGCUCAUGCCACGGCCCCUGGGCCUCAGUGGACACUGACAAAUGCAGAGCUGGGAACCAGUCUGGCUCACCAGUGUGCUAGUAUAGUUCAAAGAGGUAUUAGAGUUAUAAGGAUGUGUUUAGUGUUUAGACUUUAUGAAAUGCUUGUGGGAAGCUACAUGUAUUACUCUUACAUAUAAUAUCUGUACCUCAUGUUAUAAGAUAAUAGUUAAGUGUUUGCUCUGUAACUAUAAAAGUGUUUGCUACAACUGUCACAGUCAGGAAAACAUUACCAAGUGUGAAACGUUAGUUUACCACAAGAGGCGUCCUCUUCUCCUCAACAAAAGAAGGCCUAAAGACACCAGCCAAGUCACUAUGGAACAUCAGUGGACAAAAGACUUUGUCGAUUGCUCCCCGCACACCCAUGAAGAGGAUUCUAGACCGAGCCCUCAUCCCAUCACAGCUUGAAUGCUGAGGGAAGGACCUAAAAAUCCCUGCAAAGGAGUUAUUACCACAGUGCUGCUUGGAAUUCAGAGAGGGGAAGAUUUCUAAGCAUAAGCAAGGGAUCCCUAGCUGUAGGGCUUGGGUUAGCCCUAAAGGACAGACAGUGCUUGCAUAUUAGAAAAGGAGCUAGGGGUUACAGUGGACAAGAAGCUGGAUAUGAGUCAACAGUGUGUCCUCGUUGCCAAGAAGGCUAAUGGGAUUUUAGGCUGUAUAAGCAGGAGCAUUGCCAGCAGAUCGA